UUUCGGUGUCCCGUAGGAUGGACCCCGGUGCAUUAGUUAGUUGUGAAGUAACGGUUACCAAUGCCCCGAUGAUAGCCGACUUAAAGGUGAUCGCCACCAUGGGACUGAGACACGGCCCAGAUUCCUACGGGAGGCAGCAGUAGGAAUCUUCGGCAAUGAACGAAAGUCUUACCGAGCAACGCCGCGUGAGUGAAGAAGGUUUUCGGAUCGUAAAACUCUGUUGUUAGAGAAGAACAAGGACGUUAGUAACUGAACGUCCCCUGACGGUAUUUAAUCAGAAAGCCACGGCUAACUACGUGCCAGCAGCCGCGGUAAUACGUAGGUGGCAAGCGUUGUCCGGAUUUAUUGGGCGUAAAGCGAGCGCAGGCGGUUUCUUAAGUCUGAUGUGAAAGCCCCCGGCUCAACCGGGGAGGGUCAUUGGAAACUGGGAGACUUGAGUGCAGAAGAGGAGAGUGGAAUUCCAUGUGUAGCGGUGAAAUGCGUAGAUAUAUGGAGGAACACCAGUGGCGAAGGCGGCUCUCUGGUCUGUAACUGACGCUGAGGCUCGAAAGCGUGGGGAGCAAACAGGAUUAGAUACCCUGGUAGUCCACGCCGUAAACGAUGAGUGCUAAGUGUUGGAGGGUUUCCGCCCUUCAGUGCUGCAGCAAACGCAUUAAGCACUCCGCCUGGGGAGUACGACCGCAAGGUUGAAACUCUUAGGAAUUGACGGGGGCCCGCACAAGCGGUGGAGCAUGUGGUUUAAUUCGAAGCAACGCGAAGAACCUUACCAGGUCUUGACAUCCUUUGACCACUCUAGAGAUAGAGCUUUCCCUUCGGGGACAAAGUGACAGGUGGUGCAUGGUUGUCGUCAGCUCGUGUCGUGAGAUGUUGGGUUAAGUCCCGCAACGAGCGCAACCCUUAUUGUUAGUUGCCAUCAUUUAGUUGGGCACUCUAGCGAGACUGCCGGUGACAAACCGGAGGAAGGUGGGGAUGACGUCAAAUCAUCAUGCCCCUUAUGACCUGGGCUACACACGUGCUACAAUGGGAAGUACAACGAGUCGCUAGACCGCGAGGUCAUGCAAAUCUCUUAAAGCUUCUCUCAGUUCGGAUUGCAGGCUGCAACUCGCCUGCAUGAAGCCGGAAUCGCUAGUAAUCGCGGAUCAGCACGCCGCGGUGAAUACGUUCCCGGGCCUUGUACACACCGCCCGUCACACCACGAGAGUUUGUAACACCCGAAGUCGGUGAGGUAACCUUUUUGGAGCCAGCCGCGUAA
rnacentral:rRNA from 1 species